rnacentral:rRNA from 1 species
UACGUAGGGAGCAAGCGUUGUCCGGAAUCAUUGGGCGUAAAGCGCGCGUAGGCGGCCUCAUAAGUCCGUUGUGAAAGUCAAAGGCUCAACCUUUGAAAGCCGAUGGAUACUGUGAGGCUAGAGUCCGGAAGAGGCGAGUGGAAUUCCACGUGUAGCAGUGAAAUGCGUAGAUAUGUGGAGGAACACCGAUGGCGAAGGCAGCCCCCUGGGUUAACACUGACGCUCAUGCACGAAAGCGUGGGGAGCAAACAGG